UACAGGGGGGCAAGCGUUGUUCGGAAUUACUGGGCGUAAAGGGCCAGUAGGCGGCCAACUAAGUCCGACGUGAAAUCCCCAAGCUUAACUUGGGAACUGCGUCGGAUACUGGAUGGCUUGAAUUCGGGAGAGGGAUGCAGAAUUCCAGGUGUAGCGGUGAAAUGCGCAGAUAUCAGGAGGAACACCAAUGGCGAAGGCAGCUCGCUGGGACGUGACUGACGCUGAGACGCGAAAGCGUGGGGAGCAAACAGG
rnacentral:rRNA from 1 species